CAAAAAGGGACUCUGCAAACCCUAAAAUUUUCUUCUCUCUUGGAGAAGAUGACCGGAGGCGGCGACUCACGGCGGAGCCUCCGUCCUUCUCCGGUAACCCUACCCAAAACGUGACCUAAACUACUACCUACAACCUCCCGAGUUUGAAUCCGAACUCUAAAAUCCCUAAACCAAACUCAAGGCGUUUGCAUGUUGCGAUUUAAGGCAAAAUAAAGGGGUUCGUUAUACUUACCACGGCGAAGGAGGUGGAAAGAUGGCUUCAGGCGAAGAAGGAGCGCUUUGAUCCGAGUCCGUCGCCGGCAACCCGUCGCAGUUUCAGAUAAGUUUUCUUCCUCAACCUUUCUUCUUUGUCUAUUUUCGUCCGAGGAUUAUAUGGAUCACAAAAAUUGUUUCAGUUUUUUUCUUACGAUUUGCUGGUUUUGUUUGAGUAUUAUGUUUGAUGUUCUUACGAAAGUUGUUUAGAUUUUCUCUGGGAUUUCAAGAAAAAUCUUUCUGUUCAGCUUUUAGGGUCUUUUUGAAAUAUAUUGCUGCUGUGUAUUCUGGGUUUGAAAAAAUUGCUCUGUUAUCUCAUGUGUGUUUUUGAUGUGUGAAAAAAUCGCUCUGUUAUUGCUUUGCUGUUAACUUCUGUUCUUUUUAUGAUGAAUUUUUCUAAGCCUUAAAAAACUCUCUGCUAUUACGCUUUUUUCUCCAGAUUAUAUGGGAUUCCACUUUUGUUGAUUUGUUACUAUUUUAAGCCAUUGUUGAAAUGCUUUUUGGAUAUUCAUGUUAGUCUUCUGGGUAAAGUUUUGAACCAAGUAAUUUAUUUAGUUAUUUUUCAGUUCCUUAAGCGCUUCUGAAAAGUGCUUUUUUAAUUAAGUUGUUUUUUCUUUUUGCAGGUUACAGGUGAAGUGACCUUGAUGGAACGGAAUGUGGGCUGCGUGAAGAUAGAAGUGUAAUGCUUGUAGUUUAAUUGAACUUUGGUGCAUUUGGAAGUUGUACGACUUGUUUCAUUUGAAGUCUAAUAGCCAUUAACAACUAUGUAUUCAACAUGAUUUUAACAUUAUUUCAAACAAUUUCUCCAUAUUAAUUUUAUGUUAUCUAUGUAUGUA